rnacentral:rRNA from 1 species
AGAGCGAACGCUGGCGGCAGGCCUAACACAUGCAAGUCGAGCGCCCGUAGCAAUACGGGAGCGGCAGACGGGAUAGUAACACGUGGGAACGCGCCCUUCGGUUCGGAAUAACUCAGGGAAACUUGAGCUAAUACCGAAUACGCCCUUACGGGGAAAGAUUUAUUGCCGAAGGAACGGCCCGCGUCCGAUUAGCUAGUUGGUGAGGUAAUGGCUUACCAAGGCUACGAUCGGUAGCUGGUCUGAGAGGAUGACCAGCAUCACUGGGACUGAGACACGGCCCAGACUCCUACGGGAGGCAGCAGUGGGGAAUAUUGGACAAUGGGCGCAAGCCUGAUCCAGCCAUGCCGCGUGGAUGAUGAAGGCCUUAGGGUUGUAAAGUCCUUUUAACGGGAAGAUAAUGACGGUACCCGUAGAAUAAGCCCGGCUAACUUCGCGCCAGCAGCCG